rnacentral:sRNA from 1 species
UAUGUACGAGUAUAAGAUGUCAUUACAUUACCUAGAGACUGUCGUUAACACGAAUGUACAGAAGACAAGCACCAAGUAUUUAUGCCGGGAAACUCCGACAGGGUGAUCCAGAAUAAACCAUUUAAAUACCGGGGACAGCAGUGUGAAAAUUAAUAGCGGGGUCGCCGA